rnacentral:lncRNA from 1 species
CACUGACUAUGUAUAGUUGAGGCAACCGAGCUAGCAGUUACUCCGGCUUCCUGUUCCACACCCGAAGUCCAGAGAGUUAAGAUCUUGCAAGAGUCUGCACCCAGCUUGACUGCUGCAAUAAACAGAUGGCAAUCAAAACCAAGGUGACGUGCAGGUGUUCCCCGAGCUGGGGACGUCUGCGGGGGCGGGGGUCGGGUGGAGAGGAGGGUUGGGAAAGCGUAGGAAACAGGCAUCGGAACAGAAACAGGAGCCGGAAAAGCGUUUUGUGCGCUUUAGGUGCUCCGAGUGGGAAUCUCAGAGCAGUACUCUUGGCCCGGAACUCCUCCACCUUGCCACAGUGGGAACAGUAGAGACAGAGCUCAGGAGCCCAGAGCAGGACAUGGAACUGGAACCGGAACAGGAAACACAAACGGAAGCAAACAGUGAAGUCCAACUGCCAAACUCCAGCUUGGUCGCCCAGAGCUGGACUUCCCUGAGUCUUGCAGGUGCAGGGCAUGUGCAGACUGUGCCAUCGUUCAUGUGCAACACCAAGGGAAGGAGAAGGGCGCCCAUGUCCACCACACUCACCAGAGGGGUAGCACUUGGCGACAGCACAAGAUGGCAGAUCCCGGGAGCCUGA